GCUCUCUGGAAAGUUCCGGCGCUUUCUGCAUUGGGGCGGUUGGCGGUUGGCGGUUCCCAGGAGGACCCGGAUGGAGCGGCCGUUACUGCGGAGAUACUGGUCCGGCGGGGACAGCCACCUCAACGGUGUGGACUGUAGGCGACAGAGAGAGAGAGACCUACCCAGGAUCAUGAAAUGUGGAGUGUCGGGCAAAGGAAACUGCCAUCUGGCCAGGCCCAGCUGUGACUCUCGACCCACAGCAAUGUAAUUGAUACUUUGAGGCAAACACAAGAGACAUUUUAAAAUCAGUUUCUGCAAGUUUGGAAAUCAGCGAAGAAAAAUUAUGCAGCCUUGAGACAAUUGAAACAAUUGAAACAACACUUUGAGACAAUUGAAGAAUAAGGAAAUAAUCAAUAGAUAUUAGUAAAGGCUGGACUUCAAAUCUGUCACAGAAAGUAUGUAAUGUUUUAUUAUAACAUUGUUGUAAAUGUACAUUGUAAGUUUUUAUUCAGCAAAAUGGUAUUCUAAGCAAAGUGAUAACAAAUACGGAGACAAAACCUUCAUCACUGUCCUUGAUGCUGUAUAGGCUCAGUAAAUUGGGAAACAAAUUACUGCAGAAUACUUCAAUAAAGCAUUCUGAUGA